rnacentral:rRNA from 1 species
CAGUAGCCGCGGUAAUACGAAGGGUGCAAGCGUUACUCGGAAUUACUGGGCGUAAAGCGUGCGUAGGUGGUGGUUUAAGUCCGUUGUGAAAGCCCUGGGCUCAACCUGGGAAUUGCAGUGGAUACUGGGUCACUAGAGUGUGGUAGAGGAUAGUGGAAUUUCCGGUGUAGCAGUGAAAUGCGUAGAGAUCGGAAGGAACAUCUGUGGCGAAGGCGACUAUCUGGGCCAACACUGACACUGAGGCACGAAAGCGUGGGGAGCAAACAGGAUUAGAUACCCGGUAGUCCCUGUCUCUUAUACA